AGGAAUUAAAAAUUUCACCAGCUAGAACAUUUAACUGAAAUUUUUUUAUCUAUAAAGCAUAGAAUAAUAAUACUAGUGAAAUCUCUCUUAUCUUAUUUUCUUAAAAGGUAAACUUCAAAUACCACCUCUGUGGUUUCGCACCUCCUCAUUUUAAUACCCAGUGGUUUAAAGUGUAUUAAGUUAGUGCCAUGUGGUUUUAUUUUUAUCUUUUCGUCAGCUUUUUCGUUAAUAUUUUAUUAAAUUAUAUACAAAAACUUCAAAUAUCUCACCUAGUUUUAAUUUUGUCACUGAUUUAACGAAAAAAAAUAGUAAAAUAGAUAAUAAAAAGAUAAAAAUGAAAACACACAAUACUAAAUUGAUAUAAUUUAAACCACAUAAUACUAAAAUGAGAAAGUGUGAAACUAUAUAGGUGGUAUUUGAAGUUUUUCUUUCCUUAAAAUUCUUAAAAUAGAAUUUUAUCCCAAC
rnacentral:lncRNA from 1 species